GAUGAAGAACGUAGCGAAAUGCGAUACGUAAUGUGAAUUGCAGAAUUCAGUGAAUCAUCGAAUCUUUGAACGCAUAUUGCGCUCUCUGGUAUUCCGGAGAGCAUGCUUGUUUGAGUAUCAGUAAACACCUCAACUUCCAUAUCUUUUUUGAAAUGGGAGUUGGACUUGAGUGAUCCCAACGCUUUUCCUCACCGAAAAGUGGCGGGUUACUUGAAAUGCAGGUGCAGCUGGACUUUUCUCUGAGCUAUAAGCAUAUCUAUUUAGUCUGCCUAAAAAACAGAUUAUUACCUUUGCUGCAGCUAACAUAAAGGAGAUUAGUUCUUGUGCUGACUGAUGCAGGAUUCACAAAGACGGCUUCGGCCGACUUUGUAAACUCGAUCUCAAAUCAAGUAAGACUACCCGCUGAACUUAAGCAUAUCACUAAGCGGAGGA
rnacentral:misc_RNA from 1 species